UCCCUGCCUGACUUGGGGUAUGCCAAGCUAU
rnacentral:piRNA from 1 species